ACCUGGCUGGCUCAGUCAGUAGAGCAUGUGACUCUUGAUCUCAGUCAGAGUCAUGAGUUCAAGCCUCAGGUUGGGCA
rnacentral:tRNA from 1 species